rnacentral:rRNA from 2 species
CUCUGGUAUUGAUUGGUGCUUGCAUCAUGAUUUACAUUUGAGUGAGUGGCGAACUGGUGAGUAACACGUGGGAAACCUGCCCAGAAGCGGGGGAUAACACCUGGAAACAGAUGCUAAUACCGCAUAACAACUUGGACCGCAUGGUCCGAGUUUGAAAGAUGGCUUCGGCUAUCACUUUUGGAUGGUCCCGCGGCGUAUUAGCUAGAUGGUGGGGUAACGGCUCACCAUGGCAAUGAUACGUAGCCGACCUGAGAGGGUAAUCGGCCACAUUGGGACUGAGACACGGCCCAAACUCCUACGGGAGGCAGCAGUAGGGAAUCUUCCACAAUGGACGAAAGUCUGAUGGAGCAACGCCGCGUGAGUGAAGAAGGGUUUCGGCUCGUAAAACUCUGUUGUUAAAGAAGAACAUAUCUGAGAGUAACUGUUCAGGUAUUGACGGUAUUUAACCAGAAAGCCACGGCUAACUACGUGCCAGCAGCCGCGGUAAUACGUAGGUGGCAAGCGUUGUCCGGAUUUAUUGGGCGUAAAGCGAGCGCAGGCGGUUUUUUAAGUCUGAUGUGAAAGCCUUCGGCUCAACCGAAGAAGUGCAUCGGAAACUGGGAAACUUGAGUGCAGAAGAGGACAGUGGAACUCCAUGUGUAGCGGUGAAAUGCGUAGAUAUAUGGAAGAACACCAGUGGCGAAGGCGGCUGUCUGGUCUGUAACUGACGCUGAGGCUCGAAAGUAUGGGUAGCAACAGGAUUAGAUACCCUGGUAGUCCAUACCGUAAACGAUGAAUGCUAAGUGUUGGAGGGUUUCCGCCCUUCAGUGCUGCAGCUAACGCAUUAAGCAUUCCGCCUGGGGAGUACGGCCGCAAGGCUGAAACUCAAAGGAAUUGACGGGGGCCCGCACAAGCGGUGGAGCAUGUGGUUUAAUUCGAAGCUACGCGAAGAACCUUACCAGGUCUUGACAUACUAUGCAAAUCUAAGAGAUUAGACGUUCCCUUCGGGGACAUGGAUACAGGUGGUGCAUGGUUGUCGUCAGCUCGUGUCGUGAGAUGUUGGGUUAAGUCCCGCAACGAGCGCAACCCUUAUUAUCAGUUGCCAGCAUUAAGUUGGGCACUCUGGUGAGACUGCCGGUGACAAACCGGAGGAAGGUGGGGAUGACGUCAAAUCAUCAUGCCCCUUAUGACCUGGGCUACACACGUGCUACAAUGGAUGGUACAACGAGUUGCGAACUCGCGAGAGUAAGCUAAUCUCUUAAAGCCAUUCUCAGUUCGGAUUGUAGGCUGCAACUCGCCUACAUGAAGUCGGAAUCGCUAGUAAUCGCGGAUCAGCAUGCCGCGGUGAAUACGUUCCCGGGCCUUGUACACACCGCCCGUCACACCAUGAGAGUUUGUAACACCCAAAGUC